UAAGUCGACCGCCUGGGGAGUACGGCCGCAAGGUUAAAACUCAAAUGAAUUGACGGGGGCCCGCACAAGCGGUGGAGCAUGUGGUUUAAUUCGAUGCAACGCGAAGAACCUUACCUGGUCUUGACAUCCACGGAAGUUUUCAGAGAUGAGAAUGUGCCUUCGGGAACCGUGAGACAGGUGCUGCAUGGCUGUCGUCAGCUCGUGUUGUGAAAUGUUGGGUUAAGUCCCGCAACGAGCGCAACCCUUAUCCUUUGUUGCCAGCGGUCCGGCCGGGAACUCAAAGGAGACUGCCAGUGAUAAACUGGAGGAAGGUGGGGAUGACGUCAAGUCAUCAUGGCCCUUACGACCAGGGCUACACACGUGCUACAAUGGCGCAUACAAAGAGAAGCGACCUCGCGAGAGCAAGCGGACCUCAUAAAGUGCGUCGUAGUCCGGAUUGGAGUCUGCAACUCGACUCCAUGAAGUCGGAAUCGCUAGUAAUCGUGGAUCAGAAUGCCACGGUGAAUACGUUCCCGGGCCUUGUACACACCGCCCGUCACACCAUGGGAGUGGGUUGCAAAAGAAGUAGGUAGCUUAACCUUCGGGAGGGCGCUUACCACUUUGUGAUUCAUGACUGGGGUGAAGUCGUAACAAGGUAACCGUAGGGGAACCUGCGGUUGGAUCA
rnacentral:rRNA from 1 species